rnacentral:tRNA from 4 species
GCGGAAGUAGCUCAGUGGUAGAGCAUCGCCUUGCCAAGGCGAGGGUCGCGGGUUCGAAUCCCGUUUUCCGCUCCA